rnacentral:lncRNA from 1 species
UUAACUCCUCGUGCCAGCUGAGCUUCGGAUUUGUUUUCCUUUUGGCUAUGCGUGCCUUUUCUUCUUGCUCAUUGUCCUUUGUGCUCCCCAUCGUCGCAAGUCUCAACAGCUUGUGCUUUAAUCUUCGUAUGCACCUAUUGUUUGAGGUAAGUCGUUUCUUCUCUCCAAUGCUCCUCCUGUUUUUUCUCCCUUUCUCGGAGUAUGUUGCGCUUUGUUCUUCUGUGUCAUACCUUUUUUUUCCUAUAUGCAGACAUAUUAUCAUGGUGUUUACUAGUUUUCUGCAUUCCAUCGCCUUCAAGAGUUGGACACUUUGUAUACGCCAGGCUUCGCACAUGUUUCCUGGAGCCGCAUGGAUGUUGUCGGACAUGUGAUGAUAGAUGGAAAUGCGCGGGGAUGCUAUUGCAAACAAAAUGUGUACUAGAAACAUGAAUUGAGUGGGAAGCACGCCCAUUUGAUGAUGUCAAUUGUCUGGGGAUGGUGUGCGUUGUCGUUGCUUCAAGAAAUGUUCUGUUGGACAUCGCCCUUUUGUGUACAUUCUUAAUCGUCGGGAUUUAUUC